rnacentral:rRNA from 1 species
UACGGAGGGUGCGAGCGUUAAACGGAAUUAUUGGGCGUAAAGAGCUCGUAGGCGGUUUGUCGCGUCUGCUGUGAAAACGCGAGGCUCAACCUCGCGCCUGCAGUGGGUACGGGCAGACUAGAGUGCGGUAGGGGAGAUUGGAAUUCCUGGUGUAGCGGUGGAAUGCGCAGAUAUCAGGAGGAACACCGAUGGCGAAGGCAGAUCUCUGGGCCGUAACUGACGCUGAGGAGCGAAAGCGUGGGGAGCGAACAGG